rnacentral:rRNA from 1 species
GCCAGACUCCUACGGGAGGCAGCAGUGGGGGAUAUUGCACAAUGGGGGGAACCCUGAUGCAGCGACGCCGCGUGGGUGAAGAAGUAUUUCGGUAUGUAAAGCCCUAUCGGCAGGGAAGAAAUUGGACGGUACCUGACUAAGAAGCCCCGGCUAACUGCGUGCCAGCAGCCGCGGUAAUACGUAGGGGGCAAGCGUUAUCCGGAUUCACUGGGUGUAAAGGGAGCGUAGACGGCCAUGCAAGCCUGGAGUGAAAGCCCGGGGCCCAACCCCGGGACUGCUCUGGGAACUGUGCGGCUGGAGUGCGGGAGGGGCAGGCGGAAUUCCUGGUGUAGCGGUGAAAUGCGUAGAUAUCAGGAGGAACACCGGCGGCGAAGGCGGCCUGCUGGACCGCGACUGACGUUGAGGCUCGAAAGCGUGGGGAGCAAACAGGAUUAGAUACCCGUGUAGGU